rnacentral:rRNA from 1 species
GACGAACGCUGGCGGCGUGCCUAAUACAUGCAAGUCGAACGCAGUGGGGACGGGUGCUUAACACGUUGGUAAACUCCCAUCAGAGGGGAGAACACUUGGAAACAGGUGCUAAACCGAUACUGAUGGAUGGACCCGCUGUGCAUGAGCAAGUGGGGGAGGGAACGGCUCACCAAGGCCACGAUGCAUAGCCGACCUGAGAGGGGGAUCGGCCAAACUGGGACUGAGACACGGGCCAGACUACGACGGGAGGCAGCAGUAGGGAAUCUGCCGCAAUGGACGAAAGUCUGACCGAGAAACGCCGCGUGAGUGAAGAAGGUUUUCGGAUCGUAAAACUCUGUUGUUAGAGAAGCGGUAUCUAACCAGAAAGCCCCGGCUAACUACGUGCCAGCAGCCGCGGUAAUAC